rnacentral:rRNA from 1 species
AUGCCGCGUGAGUGAUGAAGGCCUUCGGGUUGUAAAGCUCUUUCGGCGGGGACGAUAAUGACGGUACCAGUAGAAGAAGCUCCUGCUAACUCCGUGCCAGCAGCCGCGGUAAUACUAAGGGGGCUAGCGUUGUUCGGAAUUACUGGGCGUAAAGGGUGCGUAGGCUGUUGGGCAAGUCAGGUGUGAAAGCCCCUGGGCUCAACUCGGGGAGUGCCCUUGAAACUGACUGGCUUGAGUGCGGGAGAGGCUGGUGGAAUUCCGUGUGGUAAAGGUUGAAUUCGUUUUAUAUUUGGAAGAACACCAUUUGGCGAAGGCGGCUAACUGGACCGGUACUGACGCUUAAGUCCUGAACCCUGGGGAACCAUCAGGAAUUAAAUCCCGGGGUCGUCAACGGGAUAAAAUACCC